UACGUAGGGACCAAGCGUUGUUCGGAUUUACUGGGCGUAAAGGGCUCGUAGGCGGCCAACUAAGUCAGACGUGAAAUCCCUCGGCUUAACCGGGGAACUGCGUCUGAUACUGGAUGGCUAGAGUUUGGGAGAGGGAUGCGGAAUUCCAGGUGUAGCGAUGAAAUGCGUAGAUAUCUGGAGGAACACCGGUGGCGAAGGCGGCAUCCUGGACCAACACUGACGCUGAGGAGCGAAAGCCAGGGGAGCAAACGGG
rnacentral:rRNA from 1 species